GGGUGUGAGGGAGAUCUGGUUACAUUAUCUGCCACUCCACUGAUUACCCAGGUUGAUUCUGCUGAUCUGGCUUGUUAGAUGGUGUCCUCCUUCAAUGUUCCAUGGGUGUUCCUCCCAAACCUGUUCACUUGGUUAGAGAGGACAACCUUCCCCAGUGCAACGGCAUAGCUGGGGGUGUGGUCUUCCCUGGACAGCACAUUUUCUGAGCAUCAUUAUUGGUCAAAAGGAAAAUUAUAUUGAUACAAUAUAUUCCAUUUU
rnacentral:snRNA from 1 species